CCCUUAGAUGUUCUGGGCUGCACGCGCGCUACACUGAUGCGCUCAACGAGUUUACGACCUUGCCCGGAAGGGUUGGGUAAUCUUUUUAAAACGCAUCGUGAUGGGGAUAGAUUAUUGCAAUUAUUAAUCUUUAACGAGGAAUUCCUAGUAAGCGCGAGUCAUAAGCUCGCGUUGAUUACGUCCCUGCCCUUUGUACACACCGCCCGUCGCUACUACCGAUUGAACGGUUUAGUGAGGGCCUCGGAUUGGUCUCGGCCCGCUCUUUACCGGGCGGCGCCGUUGGUCGAGAAGACGCUCGAACUUGAUCGUUUAGAGGAAGUAAAAGUCGUAACA
rnacentral:rRNA from 1 species